UACGGAGGGUGCGAGCGUUGUUCAGAAUUACUGGGCGUAAAGCGCGUGUAGGCGGCCUGCUAAGUCUGAUGUGAAAGCCCAGGGCUCAACCUUGGAAUUGCCUUUGAUACUGGCUGUCUUGAGUUCGGGAGAGGUGAGUGGAAUGCCGAGUGUAGAGGUGAAAUUCGUAGAUAUUCGGCGGAACACCAGUGGCGAAGGCGACUCACUGGCCCGAUACUGACGCUGAGGCGCGAAAGCGUGGGGAGCAAACAGG
rnacentral:rRNA from 1 species